rnacentral:lncRNA from 1 species
CCGUGCCAGGGCAGCGCGCGUUUCUCCCCCGACCCCGCCGCGGUCCGGCCUCGACCCCGCGGUCCCCAGCCCGACUCCGGCUCCGCUCGCCAGGUGCCGCCAGACUCGCGCGGGGCUCAGGCUCUCCACCGGGGGGCGCCUCUCGCCUCCCCUGCGCCGCGCGGCGUCCGGGGAGUGGAAACGCCCGGGCGGGCUGACUCAGGAAGAGGAGACUGAGACACAGGUUUAAGUGAUGUACCCAAGAUCACGGAACUAGUAAGUGGCCGAAUCCGCGUUCAAAUCCAGACGGUCUGGCUCCAGAGUCCGCCUUCUACCCCACCGUUGGCUGCCUUGGUUCAGCAACAGUGACUGUCACACGGAGCCCUCAGGAGUCGCGCUGACAAUGGGUGGGCCCUGCCUUCAAGUUCCACACUGUCUGUUUGUGUCAUUACAACACUACUGGAAGUAGGUGCAGUUAUAGACCCGCUGUUCAAGGUCAGCUGAAAUGAAAGUCAGGUCACACGAGUCCAAACUGUGGGGCCACUUAACCACCAACUCCAAGCAGGAAGGUGGACGAUCCCAGACUCGGUCGAAGACAAGCAUGUCUGGUUUGCUUGUCUUCCUUCUCAACCUGAAUGGCACGAACAUGGAGAAAUGCAUACUUACCCUGCCAGCUGGAGAAAACUGGAGACGAAGGAGGGAGCCAGGAGUUUCUACUUUGCCUUCCACCAGUUGCUGACACUUUCUGAACCCCGUCUGUAAAAUGAAGUCAUGCUGCCCAUCACUCAAAGUUGUGUGAAUUGAGAGAGUGCUCAUAGUGCUCUGUGAAUUGCAUAACAUCCAUUUUGCUGUUGAAGAUCAUUUAUUUUGGGUUCUUAGUCUCUCACAAAACCUUAGAACACUGACACCAAGACUCCAGCCUUUCCCUUUCGAAACAUAAUUCCCGUGCGCACCUAAAUGAUACUUUAUUUCAAGAAGUAGAACUGACACCCACACCUCAGCCCCAGAAUUAUUCAGAAUUAGAGAAUUUCAUCAAGAGGGAAGUUAUCCCUUCUAAAACAUCUUCCUCAUUACAGGAAGUAAGAAUGGCAGGAUAACAGUUUCUAGAGUGGAAAAGUGGAGCUCUGGCCUGAUUCUAUCAUCAUGGUGUACCCAGGGAGGCCUCAUUUCCUGGUAUCAAAUUCUCUGUGUUAAGAUAUCUAUGGCCCAAUUCAAAAUGGCUUAAGCAAUAAGAAGGUUUGUUUUCUCACAUAAUAAAAUGUUUGGAGGUAGGUAUGUCCAAGGUUGGUAAAGAGGCAGUUGAACAAUGUGACCAAAGACUCCAGUUCUGGCUGGGCCCGGUGGCUCACACCUGUAAUCCCAGCACUUUGGAAGGCUGAGGCAGGCGAAUCACUUGAGGCCAGGAGUUCGAGACCAGCCUAGCCAACAUAGUGAAACCCUGUCUCUACCAAAAGUACAAAAAUUAGGCAGGCAUGGUGGCGCGCGCCUGUAGUCCCAGUUACUCCAGAGGCUGAGACAGGAGAAUUGCUUGAAACCGAGAGGCAGAGGUUGCAGUGAGCUGAGAUCAUGCCGUUGCACUACAGCCUGGGUGAGAGAGUGAGACUCUCUCAGAAAAAAAAGACCCUGGUUCUGUCUAUCCUUUUGUGCCAUCAUCCUUGGUGUUCUGUUAUCCUGCGGUGUGCCCCUCAUGGUCCCAAGAUGGCUACUGUAGCUCAAAACAUCACAUCAUUACAUGCGAAUGUCCACAAGUGGAAGUUAGGACAUCCCUUCGAGCCUCUUUUUAAGAGUGAAGAAACCUUCCCUGGCUGGAUGCAGUGGCUCACACCUUCUGACCUUCCACUCCUCAAGCCCCGGAGUCAACUCUAGUCACACUGGCCUCCUUGCUGUGCCUCUUCCACAGCGAAUGUGUCCUGGCCUCAGACCCUUUACAUUUGCUGUUCCCUGUGCAUGGAACGCUCUUCCCUCAGGUCAUACAUAGCAUACAUUACUGAGUGCUCUCCAUGUGCCCAGCAUGGUUUGAUGCGCUUUACAUAUAUUAACUCAUGGAACCUAACAGCUUUAUGAGACGAGUCUGUUAUCUCCAUCCCCAUUUGAUAGAUGGGGCAUCCCUGUGGGAGCUCUGCCCAUUCCAGAGGUGCCAGGCCAUUCACUAAUGGGGGCAGGAGCCGGACAAGACCAGAGUGCAAACUCUUCAAGACAAGGGAAGAAUGACCCUGAAGGCAAUUCAGAGAUCAUCAAGGCUAUCUCCUUGCUUUCAAAAGUCGGGAGCAUUGCCUUGCAUUCAGCAGGUUAGAGGGCCUCUGUCCAAAGCCAUGGAGGAAGAGCUGCCCAGAGCUGUUGGUGUGGGGCUACCCAGAGCCCUGGGAACAUGACUUCUGCGGGAUAGAGCUGGAGGGACAGGACCACCACCCCAGAGGGUACAGAGGGUGGGACCACCACCAUUGUGGAUCUGGAAGGCUGCCUCAGUGGGCCUGGAAGCAGAGCAUUUAAUGAACUAAAAAUGAUUUUUCUUGAGCCUUAAGAUCUCAUGGAGUUUGCCUUGUAGUUUGGAUGUAAUUUGGAUCUGCUAUUCCUUUCUUCUUUCCUAUUUCUCCCUUUUGGAAUGGUCUAUCCUAUGCCUGUCUCACCAUUGUAUUUUGGAAGCAGAUAACUUGCUUGAUUUCACAGGCUCACCGCUGGAGAACAAUUUGCCCCAGGAUGCAUCACACCUUGAGUCUCAGCCAUAUCUGACUUAGAUGACACUUAGAUAAUAAAACUUUGGAUUUUAGACUUCAGAGUUAAUGCUGGAAUGAGUUAAGGCUUUUGGGGCUGUUGGAAUGUAAGGAAUGAAUGUAUUUUGCAUGUGAGAAGGAUGUGAAUUUGGCGGGGGAUGGG